rnacentral:rRNA from 1 species
GACGAACGCUGGCGGCGCGCUUAACACAUGCAAGUCGAACGGAAAGGCCUGCUUUCCCUUGUGGAUUGCGGGUCCUCGAGUGGCGAACGGGUGAGUAACACGUGAGUGAUCUGCCCCCAACUUGGGUAUAAGCCUGGGAAACUGGGUCUAAUUCCCGAUAGGACUGCAGGGUGGUGCCUGUGGUGGAAAACGAUUUUCUAGUGGUUGGGGAUGAGCUCGCGGCCUAUCAGCUUGUUGGUGGGGUAAUGGCCUACCAAGGCGGCGACGGGUAGCCGGCCUGGGAGGGUGGACGGCCACAUUGGGACUGGGAGACGGCCCAGAGUCCUACGGGAGGCAGGAGUGGGGAAUAUUGCACAAUGGGCGGAAGCCUGAUGCAGCGACGCCGCGUGGGGGAUGACGGCCUUCGUGUUGUAAACUCCUUUCGACCGCGAGGAAGCCACCUGGUUGGAAGGGUGGUGACGGUAGUGGUAGAAGAAGCACCGGCUAACUACGUG